rnacentral:rRNA from 1 species
UUAGGAAUUUUGCGCAAUGGGGGAAACCCUGACGCAGCAACGCCGCGUGAGUGAAGAAGGCCUUCGGGUUGUAAAGCUCUUUUAGUAAGAAAAAUAAAUGAUGGUACUUACAGAAAAAGCACCGGCUAACUCUGUGCCAGCAGCCGCGGUAAUACAGAGGGUGCGAGCGUUAUUCGGAUUUACUGGGCGUAAAGCGUGCGUAGGUGGUUUGAUAAGUCUGAUGUGAAAUCCCACGGCUCAACCGUGGACGUGCAUUGGAUACUGUCAGACUGGAGUACAGGAGGGGUGAGCGGAAUUCCAGGUGGAGAGGUGAAAUUCGUAGAUAUCUGGAGGAACAACGGUAGCGAAGGCGGCUCACUGGACUGUAACUGACACUUUGGCACGAAAGCGUGGGGAUCAA